UCAAAAGAUCCCCCAAAAAUAAAAAGUAAAAAAAAAAAAAAAAAAAGCUUCGAAAUCCGAAUAGGAAAAGGAGAAAAUUUUUUGCAGAAGAGUUUUUAUACACUAAAUUUUCGAAUACAUAAUUUGUAAUUUCGUUUGCAUUUCGUAUUUUCUGCAUAAUUUAUUUACCAGAUUCUCUGUCACUUUUUUUUUUCUUUUUCCUCUCAUACAUUAUUUUCCAAACUCCUUUUUUUUUUUUUUUUUUGGUUUUUCUUCUUCUUCUUAUUAUUAUUUUUUUUUUGACCCGUCGGUUUCAGUGUGUUCGAUCACACCCUUUAUUGAGAAUUUUCCCUUUUUUAUUUUUUAUUUUUUGAGAGAGAGAGAGAGAGAGAGAUUUGGGAGUGUUUUUGUUUUACCUUUUUUUUUUUUUUUUUUUUUCUUUGUUAGCUCUGAUUUGUCUGAAAGAUUCCGAGAACGUUUUCUGGGUUUGAUUGGUGAAAACUGAAAAAAGGAGCAAAGAGGGAGGGGUUAAAAGCCAAUCUCUGUGCUACCGAUGCCUGACGCUCGGCAGCCUCCGAAGAAUGCUAUUCCAAAUAAAUCCGAUGGUAACAUUGAAGAAGCAAUUUGGCGGUUGAAAAUCAAUGAUAAUCAGGAUGGAAACGGAAUGGCUCAAUCAAACUUAUACCCAGAUCGUCCUGGUGAACCUGACUGCAUAUAUUAUUUGAGGACUGGUUUGUGUGGUUAUGGAAGUAAUUGUAGAUUUAAUCACCCUGCUUACAUAUCACAGGGCGCUCAGUACACCAGAGAACUCCCUGAAAGAGUUGGACAACCCGACUGUGGGUACUUUCUGAAGACAGGGACUUGCAAAUAUGGGUCAACUUGUAAAUUUCAUCAUCCACGAGAUAGGCGUGGAGCUGGACCAGUCUUAUUUAACAUUUUGGGCCUUCCUAUGCGUCAGGAAGAAAAAUCAUGCCCUUAUUACAUGCGAACCGGUGCAUGUAAAUUUGGACCUGCAUGCAAGUUUCAUCAUCCGCAGCCCACAUCACUUGGAACUACACUACCCAUUGCUGGCCCUGCAGCUUUUGGAUCAACAGGCUCACCAGUUCUUCCUUCUUCAGGUCUGCCUUACACGGGUGGACUCCCUGCAUGGUCAUUACCAAGAGUACCUUAUCUAUCUGUUCCACAUUUACAGGCUCCACAACCUUACAUGCCUCUUGUUGUUUCUCCUUCUCAAGGAAUACAGGGCUGGAACACCUACUUGGGGAACAUGAGCCCUGUAUCGUCUUCUGGCAUUCUUGGAUCCAAUCUUGUCUACAACUCUAAGAAUCCAGGGGACUCAGGUUCCAGUGGACAGGUGAACUUGUUAUCAAAUUCAAGUCCAAGUCUCCCUGAGAGGCCUGAUCAACCAGAAUGCCGCUAUUUUAUGAACACUGGGACUUGCAAAUAUGGAACAGAUUGCAAGUAUCAUCACCCAAAAGAAAGGAUUGUGCAAUCAGCAACAAACCAACUCGGGCUUCCCUCACGGCCUGGGCAAGCUGUAUGUUCUUACUACACUAUGUAUGGAAUCUGCAAAUAUGGCCCAACUUGCAGAUUUGAUCACCCUUUGGUUGCACAGCCUUAUAACUAUAGUGUGAGCCUGCCUGCAAUGCUUGAUCCUACUUUUCUAAGUUAUCCAAGAAGCUUUCCAACAUCACAUACAACUGAAACCUCUCAGUCUAUGUCAUCAAAAUUUGUUGAUGUAGUCCAGAAACCUUUAAGCAACAAACAUCAGAUCCCAGACACAAGGAUCUCAGAAGAGUCGGCUGAACAGGGUGGUUCUUUGCCACAGUCACCAUCAUCAUCGGAGCCUUUAGAUGAUCAAUCUGGUUGAAGUCUCUAUUUUUUUUUCUUUUUUUCAUUUUUUUUCUUUCUUCUGUGGUGAACUUGUUCUCUUUUUUGAAUUACCGAGAUCAAGGGAAUAUAUUUAUUACAUGUACCUCCUCCCCCCCAUUUCAUCUGCGGUUCUGCGGAGUGGAAUAGGUUGUUUGGAGAUCAGUUAGUGAGCUAAAACCGGGGGGGGCAUGGAAGGCAUUUUUUUGUGGUGAAUAAAACGCAGGUGGAAAUUUCUUUGGAGAUGUUGGUAACCUGAAAUCAAACUCUCAAUGGAUAGCUCAUGAACAUUCGAGCUAAACAGUCAUUUUGUCGAUCUUGGGGUGACCUUUCAUGGCAGUUGUGUAAGUUUUGUCUCUUUUAUCCCAAGCCCUUCUGGGGCAUUUGGGGUUUGUCACUUGUGUUUUUGCGGACCCAUUUUUGGGCAUUAACUUUAGGAUUAUAAUUGUGAAGGAAUUUGUUUGGCAAGAGAGAAAAGUAGAAGAAGCAAAGAGGGAGGAUUAGAGUAAGGAAAAUCCAUCCCUUGUUUGGUAGUAAGGAAAGAAAGAGAGCAGAAAAAUGUGAGCGGCUCUGGAUCUUUCCAAAUCUAUUAAACAAACCCCUCCAAAUGCGGAUGAAUUGGAGGGAGGAUAGAAAACUUAAUGAAGUAAUUUUGCUUAUAUUUACUUUA